CCUGUGAGGGGAGUGAAAUAGAUCCUGAAACCGCAUGCAUACAAGCAGUGGGAGCACCUUCGUGGUGUGACUGCGUACCUUUUGUAUAAUGGGUCAGCGACUUAUAUUCAGUAGCAAGGUUAACCGUAUAGGGGAGCCGUAGAGAAAUCGAGUCUUAAUAGGGCGUUUAGUUGCUGGGUAUAGACCCGAAACCAGGCGAUCUAUCCAUGAGCAGGUUGAAGGUUGGGUAACACUAACUGGAGGACCGAACCCACUGUCGUUGAAAAGCCAGGGGAUGACUUGUGGAUAGGGGUGAAAGGCUAAUCAAGCCUGGUGAUAGCUGGUUCUCCCCGAAAGCUAUUUAGGUAGCGCCUCGGACGAAUACCAUAGGGGGUAGAGCACUGUUUCGGCUAGGGGGUCAUCCCGACUUACCAAACCGAUGCAAACUCCGAA
rnacentral:rRNA from 1 species